UGGGGGGGGCACCUCCUGGCCAACCCAUGCCUCAAGCUCCAAUGGGUAUACAGAAUGGAGGGGUUAUGGCCCCACAGCAACAGAACAUGAUGUUUAUGGCUCAAAGUGGUAUGGCAGGAAGUGGUGUCCCAAAUCCUUUCUUUGCCAAUGGCAUGCCGCAGGCUGUCCCCACUUCCAUUCAGCUCUCACGGCCAACCCAUUUGCUCAGAGAAUGAUUUUGCUGUGGUGAUAGCUAAACAAGGGGAGAAAAGAGAAACA